rnacentral:rRNA from 1 species
GGAAUAUUGGACAAUGGGCGAAAGCCUGAUCCAGCCAUGCCGCGUGAGUGAAGAAGGCCUUAGGGUUGUAAAGCUCUUUCGGCGGGGAAGAUAAUGACGGUACCCGCAGAAGAAGCCCCGGCUAACUCCGUGCCAGCCGCCGCGGUAAUACGGAGGGGGCUAGCGUUGUUCGGAAUUACUGGGCGUAAAGCGCACGUAGGCGGGCUGUUAAGUCGGGGGUGAAAUCCUGGGGCUCAACCUCAGAAUUGCCUUCGAUACUGACAGUCUUGAGUACGAGAGAGGUGAGUGGAAUUCCCAGUGUAGAGGUGAAAUUCGUAGAUAUUCGGAGGAACACCAGUGGCGAAGGCGGCUCACUGGCUCGAUACUGACGCUGAGGUGCGAAAGCGUGGGGAGCAAA